UACGGAGGGUGCGAGCGUUGUCCGGAAUCACUGGGCGUAAAGGGUGCGUAGGCGGGUCUUUAAGUCAGAGGUGAAAUCCUGGAGCUCAACUCCAGAACUGCCUUUGAUACUGAGGGUCUUGAGUAUGACAGAGGUGAGUGGAACUGCGAGUGUAGAGGUGAAAUUCGUAGAUAUUCGCAAGAACACCAGUGGCGAAGACGGCUCACUGGGUCAUUACUGACGCUGAGGCACGAAAGCGUGGGGAGCAAACAGG
rnacentral:rRNA from 1 species